rnacentral:sRNA from 1 species
UUCCUUCCCAAAGCCACCGGAAGCAUUCCUUCUAGGAAAGGUGGAGUCGGUAGUGAGAAGCCGGAGGUGCCCCUACAGACAUACAAGGAGAUUGUUCACUGCUGCGAGGAGCAGGUCUUAACUCUGGCCACUGAACAGACCUAUGCUGUGGAGGGUGAGACACCCAUCAACCGCCUGUCCCUGCUGCUCUCUGGCCGGGUUCGUGUGAGCCAGGAUGGGCAGUUUCUGCACUACAUCUUUCCAUACCAGUUCAUGGACUCUCCUGAGUGGGAAUCACUACAGCCUUCUGAGGAGGGGGUGUUCCAGGUGACUCUGACUGCUGAGACCUCAUGUAGCUACAUUUCCUGGCCCCGGAAAAGUCUCCAUCUUCUUCUGACCAAAGAGCGAUACAUCUCCUGCCUCUUCUCUGCUCUGCUGGGAUAUGACAUCUCGGAGAAGCUCUACACUCUCAACGACAAGCUCUUUGCUAAGUUUGGGCUGCGCUUUGACAUCCGCCUUCCCAGUCUCUACCAUGUCCUGGGUCCCACUGCUGCA